UAAUGGGUCAGCGACUUAUAUUCUGUAGCAAGGUUAACCGAAUAGGGGAGCCGAAGGGAAACCGAGUCUUAACUGGGCGUUAAGUUGCAGGGUAUAGACCCGAAACCCGGUGAUCUAGCCAUGGGCAGGUUGAAGGUUGGGUAACACUAACUGGAGGACCGAACCGACUAAUGUUGAAAAAUUAGCGGAUGACUUGUGGCUGGGGGUGAAAGGCCAAUCAAACCGGGAGAUAGCUGGUUCUCCCCGAAAGCUAUUUAGGUAGCGCCUCGUGAAUUCAUCUCCGGGGGUAGAGCACUGUUUCGGCAAGGGGGUCAUCCCGACUUACCAACCCGAUGCAAACUGCGAAUACCGGAGAAUGUUAUCACGGGAGACACACGGCGGGUGCUAACGUCCGUCGUGAAGAGGGAAACAACCCAGACCGCCAGCUAAGGUCCCAAAGUCAUGGUUAAGUGGGAAACGAUGUGGGAAGGCCCAGACAGCCAGGAUGUUGGCUUAGAAGCAGCCAUCAUUUAAAGAAAGCGUAAUAGCUCACUGGUCGAGUCGGCCUGCGCGGAAGAUGUAACGGGGCUAAACCAUGCACCGAAGCUGCGGCAGCGACACUAUGUGUUGUUGGGUAGGGGAGCGUUCUGUAAGCCUGUGAAGGUGUACUGUGAGG
rnacentral:rRNA from 1 species